rnacentral:rRNA from 1 species
GACGAACGCUGGCGGCGUGCUUAACACAUGCAAGUCAAGGGGGCCCGCAAGGGCAACCGGCGAAUGGGUGCCUAACACGUGAGCAAUCUGCCUAGAUGUGGGGGAUAGCCGGCCCAACGGCCGGGUAAUACCGCAUACGCUCUCCUGGUGGCAUCACCGGGUGAGGAAACUUUCGAGGCAUCUAGAGGAGCUCGCGGCCUAUCAGCUAGUUGGUGGGGUAAUGGCCUACCAAGGCUUUGACGGGUAGCUGGUCUGAGAGGA